GUGUUUAAAUUUGAGAAGUAAUAACAUCGUACUUGACUACUUGUAUCAUUUAAAAUAUUGUGUUUUUGGGGAUGUUAUUCCAAUCAAUCUCCUUAUUAUUCUUAUCACUGAAAUUGCAAGAUAUGGUGAAGAAUCGAGGGAGAAAUAGGAGGAAGAAGGUUGUGAAGAUUUUCGAUUUUCUUUCAAGAAAUUGAGGGCUCUGGUUAAAGGGUACAAGCUUCACAAAGGGUCGAGCUACUUAAGGUGGGUUUUUCGUGUACCGUGGUUGCUUGCACAUAAAUGUUUUUUGUGUGCCGUUAUUUCUUGGGGAGACAUAUAUAGUGAGAACGGAUGCGGUGUUUGGUAGUCGUGAGCAUGAAAGAUAUAAGUAAUCGACGAGGAUAGAAAUUGAGAAUUAUAUUCACUCAUUGGAUAUUUAGUAUAUGAAUGAAGUAUAGCAAUGUACGAUGGGCGUAACCCAAUUAUGUCAGGCAUACUGAGUCAACCAAUUUGUAAUUUGGGUCAACACUUGUGUACGCGGGGCGUACGAGCUGAGUAUGUUGGGCGUACUCAGCAGCGUUGACCAAGUUUGACUUUUGAUUUUUCGACUUUAACCAGGGUUGACCAAGCUGGACUUAAGGGAAUUUUAGGUAUUUUGAGCCAUGGUUAAGCCUUGGUCUCUAUCCGUUGGAUAGGUGGCCCGUUAAGGGGCGUAUCCAAUCAACCUUGGACUUUGACUUUUGUUGACUUCGUUGACCGUUGACUUUUUGACCAAGUUUGACUUUAGGUCAAACUUGAGGGUUUUGAAUGGUGAUUAAGAUUUCACUGAUUAUGAUGUUAGUGGAUCCGUGGGUGCAAGCAAUGUAGCAGGGAGCAUAUCGCAAUGUUCUCGGGUUUCUUCAUUUUAAGUGAGUUUGCCUCAUUGUACCGUGGGUCGAAGGCACCUAUGCCGACCAACUAGUUUUGGUUAUCUGUUAUUAGAAGGAUGCCUUAGGGAUUGUAUAUUAUCUAGGCUCUCUUACUUGUUCCUUGUUUGGUCGUGGUUCUAGAGUAUGACCACUUGUCCAAGUGGCUAUUUCACCUCAGAAUAUAUACAGUAAUGCAUUCCUUGGAUUUUGAUACUUAGUAUAUUGUUAUGAUGUAGUGAUCUGUUAGAUCUGUAUCCUGGUAUCGAGUAUAUUGUUUAUGUUGUAGUGAUCAAUUAGAUUUGUAUCCUAGUAUCGAGUAUGUUGUUAUGUUGUAGUGAUCUGUUAGAUUUGUAUCCUGGUAUCAAGUAUGUUGUGUUGCCAUAGUGAUCUGUACAACCGUAUGUUAUAUGUACUUGUCGGUUAUCCUUAGGUGGAGUGCCCUAAGGAUUGUUUGUUUUCGUGUAGAAUAACCUGAGAACUCUUGAUCUAGGAUUUCUUGCUUGUUCCUUGUUUGGUUGUGGCUCUAGAGUAGGAUCAUCUGUUCGGGUGGCUAUCUCACCUCUGGUUACUUCUGAUUACAUAUUUCAUGGAGGAUGGCCGAUAAUAGGAUUGUAUGAUGUGAGAGGACUUGUAGGCAGUAGUGAGUUGUAUGUUUGUUGUUUGCCUAUAUUAUGUGCCUACUUGAUCCUUGUUUGUUUAUAUGUCGACAUAUGGUAGUGGUGGGUUGAGGCGGUCCUGCUUUGUGUUGUGCGCCAAGAUACCUGGUACGGGCUGGCUGUAAGCCGUAGGCAUGGAGGCUUUGAAAAUAGCAGUUGGGGUUGAGGCGAUAGGCCAACAAACCCUGUGUAUUCCAUCCCGAUAGCUGAUUAGAUCUAUUGCAUGUUGGCAUUUCAGUCCAAGGAAAUGAUUGGGCCUGGGCAUUCCAACCGGGAGGUUGUGGGCCAUUAUGCAUGCUUGUAUGUUUAUCGUAUGAGGUAUUUUGGGGAAAACUCACUAAGCUUCAUGCUUAUCCAGUUGUUUAUUAUUUCAUGUGUCAUCGGUGAUUAUGGGAAGGCGAAGACGGGACUAUACACAACCAUCAACAACAAUGAGGAUUUCGAGUUCUUCAUGAUACUCUGAUUUUGAAUAAAUAUAACUUGGAAUAAACAGUUUUCUAAAUAAUGAAUUUAUAAAUUGGGAAGUUUAUCUUAAUAAAAAAGAAAAAUAUUUUGGUUGUGAAAAAAA